GUUACCGUAGCUUAAAUCAAAGCACGGCACUGAAGAUGCCAAGAUGGCCCCCCUUGCCCGGAAACA
rnacentral:tRNA from 1 species